GAUCGAUGAAGGUCGAGAGAUUGUAAAGAUCUUUUCCACAUGAGGAAUAACCAUCUGAGGGAAUGCGGGUGGGAUGACGUUAGUGUGGGAAUAAGCCCCGGCUAAUUACGUGCCAGCAGCCGCGGUAACACGUAAGGGGCGAGCGUUGUUCGGAAUUAUUGGGCGUAAAGGGCACGCAGGCGGUUAUACAAGUCCGAUGUUAAAGACCUGGGCUCAACUCAGGGAAUGCGUUGGAAACUGUAUGACUAGAGUAUUAGAGGGGGAGUCGGAAUUCCUAGUGUAGGGGUGAAAUCUGUUGAUAUUAGGAAGAACACCGGUGGCGAAGGCGGACUCCUGGCUGAAUACUGACGCUGAGGUGCGAAAGCAUAGGGAGCAAACAGGAUUAGAUACCCUGGUAGUCUAUGCUGUAAACGAUGUGCACUUGGUGUUGGGCCGAUUANGUUCAGUGCCGUAGCUAACGCGAUAAGUGCACCGCCUGGGGAGUAUGCCCGCAAGGGUGAAACUCAAAGGAAUUGACGGGGGCCCGCACAAGCGGUGGAUUAUGUGGUUUAAUUCNAUGAUACGCGAGAAACCUUAC
rnacentral:rRNA from 1 species